rnacentral:lncRNA from 12 species
GUUUUUUCAAUUGCAGAAAUGUCUCCUUUACAAUGAGCAUUGUUUAUUUGAAAAAAGAGAGAUCCCGGCCUCAGGUCCCUCCCGACCCCCCAGGCUCCUUGGCCCACGCCCCCCCCCACCCCCAGCAUCCCGGGCCCCUGCCCGCCCCCCCGCGGCCCCCACGGGCCCCAGGUCCCUCCCGACCCCCCAGGCUCCUUGGCCCACGCCCCCCCCCACCCCCAGCAUCCCGGGCCCUUGCCCGCCCCCCGCGGCCCCCACCGGCCUCAGGUCCCGCCCGACCCCCCAGGCUCCUUGGCCCACGCCCCCCCCCCCGACCCCCAGCAUCCCGGGCCCCUGCCCGCCCCCCGCGGCCCCCACCGGCCUCAGGUCCCUCCCGACCCCCCAGGCUCCUUGGCCCACGCCCCCCCCCCCGACCCCCAGCAUCCCGGGCCCCUGCCCGCCCCCCGCGGCCCCGCCCGGCCUCAGGUCCCUCCCGACCCCCCAGGCUCCUUGGCCCACGCCCCCCCCCACCCCCAGCAUCCCGGGCCCUUGCCCGCCCCCCGCGGCCCCCACCGGCCUCAGGUCCCGCCCGACCCCCCAGGCUCCUUGGCCCACGCCCCUCCCGACCCCCGACCCCCAGCAUCCCGGGCCCCUGCCCGCCCCCCGCGGCCCCGCCCGGCCUCAGGUCCCGCCCGACCCCCCAGGCUCCUUGGCCCACGCCCCCCCCUCCCGACCCCCCAGGCUCCUUGGCCCACGCCCCCCCCACCCCCAGCAUCCCGGGCCCCUGCCCGCCCCCCGCGACCCCGCCCGGCCUCAGGUCCCUCCCGACCCCCCAGGCUCCUUGGCCCACGCCCCCCCCACCCCCAGCAUCCCGGGCCCCUGCCCGCCCCCCGUGGCCCCGCCCGGCCUCAGGUCCCGCCCGACCCCCAGCCUCCCCCGCCGACCCCCGCCCCCGCGGACCACCCCGCCGGCCUCAGGUCGCGCCCCCCGCGGGCCGCCCUCAGCCCCCAUCGCGCAGUGGGGCGCUGCUUACCGCAGGCCGAGUGCGGGUCAGAGCCCUGCCCCAGGGGGAGCCGCCGGUGGGUCCCGGUCCAGGCCGCGGCUUCCCCAACGGCCCCCGCCCGGGUCCCCCCCAGACUGAUGCGCCUCUGCCCCCCGCGCCUCCUUCCGUUGAGGCCGUUGGAGCCCGGAGCGCGCGGCCGCGGGGGGCCUGGCCUGGGCGGGGCGGCGGGGCGGGAGCCCGGGGCGCGCUGCUGCUUGGCCACUUUGGGCUCUAA